ACCAGACUCCUACGGGAGGCAGCAGUGGGGGAUAUUGCACAAUGGGGGAAACCCUGAUGCAGCGACGCCGCGUGGGUGAAGAAGUAUUUCGGUAUGUAAAGCCCUCUCAGCAGGGAAGAAAGAAGACGGUACCUGACUAAGAAGCCCCGGCUAACUACGUGCCAGCAGCCGCGGUAAUACGUAGGGGCGAGCGUUAUCCGGAUUCACUGGGUGUAAAGGGAGCGUAGACGGCCGUGCAAGCCAGGAGUGAAAGCCCGGGGCCCAACCCCGGGACUGCUCUUGGAACUGUGCGGCUGGAGUGCGGGAGGGGCAGGCGGAAUUCCUGGUGUAGCGGUGAAAUGCGUAGAUAUCAGGAGGAACACCGGCGGCGAAGGCGGCCUGCUGGACCGCGACUGACGUUGAGGCUCGAAAGCGUGGGGAGCGAACAGGAUUAGAUACCCUAGUA
rnacentral:rRNA from 1 species